CGCGGGAUGGAGCAGCAUGGUAGCUCGUCGGGCUCAACUCUUUAUAAACCCCGAGCGAAGGUCGUCGGUUCAAAUCAGGCUCCCGCAGCCA
rnacentral:tRNA from 1 species